CGCAUCUGUGCAUGCAGCAUAUCAAUAAGCGGAGGAAAAGAAACUAACAAGGAUUCCCCUAGUAACGGCGAGUGAAGCGGGAAGAGCUCAAAUUUGAAAUCUUAAAGGGUUUCCCUUUACGAAUUGUAGUUUAAAGAAGUGUUUUCUGUUGAGGUUUUGGUAAAAGUUCUUUGGAAUAGGACAUCAUAGAGGGUGAGAAUCCCGUAUUUGACCUUUACUUUCAACUUUGUGAUACACUUUCAAAGAGUCGGAUUGUUUGGGAAUGCAGUCCAAAAUGGGUGGUAAAUUUCAUCUAAAGCUAAAUAUUGGCGAGAGACCGAUAGCGAACAAGUACCGUGAGGGAAAGAUGAAAAGAACUUUGAAAAGAGAGUUAAACAGUACGUGAAAUUGUCAAAAGGGAAGCGUUUGACACCAGUGUUGUUUUUCUGAAAAUCAAUUAAAGAACUGUUUAUGCUAAGCUGUUUAGACUUUAUCAGCUAUCUGUUUAGUUUUGAGCUUUCUUUAAUGCACUUUUCAGUUAACAAGUCAACAUCAAUUUCUUUUGCUGUAAAAAAGCAUUGAGGAAGGUGGCUUGAGAUUCGUCUUAAGUGUUUAUAGCCUCUUGCCUAUGCAGUCGGAGAGAUUGAGGUCUGCAGCGUAGAUCCUUCGGGGCUAAAUGCAUUUGUGCUAAGUUAUAGCAUUUUAUAGACAACUUGUUGACUAUGAUUUGUCUUGUAGCUUACUCGCUUAUGUUAUUUUACCUACGCUUAGGAUGUUGAGUCGUAGAGCACGCAG
rnacentral:rRNA from 1 species